rnacentral:rRNA from 1 species
UACGGAGGGUGCAAGCGUUAAUCGGAAUUACUGGGCGUAAAGCGCACGCAGGUGGCUGAGUCAGUCGAUUGUGAAAGCCCUGGGCUUAACCUGGGAAUUGCAGUCGAUACUACUCAGCUAGAGUAUGGGAGAGGGCAGUGGAAUUCCCGGUGUAGCGGUGAAAUGCGUAGAUAUCGGGAGGAAGGCCGGUGGCGAAGGCGGCGCUCUGGAACGUUUCUGACGCUGAGGCUCGAAAGCGUGGGGAGCAAACAGG